UACAGAGGUCCCAAGCGUUGUUCGGAUUCACUGGGCGUAAAGGGUGUGUAGGCGGUCGGGUAAGUCUGACGUGAAAUCUUCAAGCUCAACUUGGAAACUGCGUCGGAUACUAUCCGGCUCGAGGAAUGGAGGGGAGACUGGAAUACUUGGUGUAGCAGUGAAAUGCGUAGAUAUCAAGUGGAACACCAGUGGCGAAGGCGAGUCCCUGGACAAUACCUGACACUGAGGCACGAAAGCUAGGGGAGCAAACAGG
rnacentral:rRNA from 1 species